rnacentral:tRNA from 1 species
GGGCCUAUAGCUCAGCUGGUUAGAGCGCAUGCCUGAUAAGCGUGAGGUCGAUGGUUCGAGUCCAUUUAGGCCCA